AUUACAAACUGGAUUAAUUUUUAAAAGUUCACAUUUUAGAGAGAAUGCUACUGUCCUAUUGGGAAUAAAGUAUAAUUCUUUUCUUCUUGCACAGUUCUUCCUUCCCCUUAUCCCUUACAAUCUACUGUAAUGGAUACACAAGAAAAGGACAGCAUCAAAGGCAAAGGUUUUGGAGCCUUGAGAAGAAUGGCUACUGAGAAUAUGAUUCGAAUGGGCUUGGCCUGCCUCACUCUCUUCUUUCUUGGACUGCUGCUGGUGGAGGUAAGUGCUGUAUUGUGGAGAUUGGAAACACUACUGUUUUUGAUUACCAUACAUCUCCUAGAAUCCCAGAUGGAUUCUGUGCAUUGUCAUCCUAAAAAGUAAAAUAUCCCAACACUUGCUAUUUAAGAUGGCUGCUUUGACAUUGCUAAAAUA
rnacentral:lncRNA from 11 species